GAGGAAUAUUGGUCAAUAGCCUAACGGCUGAACCAGCAACUUGGGGGAAUGGAUAUCAAAAAAAAAUUUUUGAUAAAAAAGAACAGUGGUUCUAUGAAAUUCUAGGUAAAAAGAUGAAAAGACAAUUUUUAUCUAUAUGUCUUGACCAAGUCACGUGCCAGCAGUCGCGGUAACACGUGGAAGACUAGUGUUAUUCAUCUUUAUUGGGUUUAAAGGGUACCUAGACAGUCGCUAAAGCCUACCAAAGGAACUAAUUGACUAGAGUGUUAUGUAAGAACUUAGAAUGAUGAGCGUAGAGAUGAAAUUUUUUGAUCCCAUUUUAGACUGGUUAAGGCGAAAGCAAUUUUUUAUGUAAACACUGACGUUGAGGGACGAAGGCUUUUGAUCACGAACAGGAUUAGAUACCCUAGUAGUAUAAGCAGACAAUGAUGAGUGUCAUAUGUAAGUAAAAAUAUUUAUGUAUAAAUGAAAGUGUAAACAUUCCACCUCAAGAGUAAUACGGCAACGUAUAAACUGAAAUCACUAGACCGUUUCUGAAACCAGCAGUGAAGUAUGUUGUUUAAUUUGAUGAUCCACGGAAAACCUUACCACAAUUUGAAUAUUUAUAUAUUAAUAUAAUUACAGGUGUUGCACGGCUGUCUUCAGUUAAUGUCGUGAGAUUUUGGUUAGUUCCAUUAAAUUAACGUAAACCCUUACUUUAUUUGUUAUAAAGUAGCUCAUCGCUAGAUUGAAUUGUGAUAAAAGGGACUAAGACAAGUCAUCAUGACUCUAACAUUGUGGGCUAUAGACGUGCCACAU
rnacentral:rRNA from 1 species